UUUGGUCAAGCUACCAUGAGUGCAUGUGAGGAUGCCUAGGCACCGAGAGCCGACGAAGGACGUGGCUAAGCUGCGAAAAACCCCGGGGAGCCGCAAGCGGGCUUUGAUCCGGGGGUGUCCCAGAUCCGGCAACGGCGCGGAGCAACCCUCUGCGAGCGCCACGUGAAUCCAUAGCGUGGCGUAGGGAACGCAGGGAACUGACCCAUCUCAGUACCUGCAGGAAAGGAAAGAAACCUCGACUCCCCCAGUAGCGGCGAGCGAACAGGGACGAGCCCAAACCAUGCGUGUGUCAAGCCUGCCGGCGUUGCACGUGUGGGGUUGUGGGAUCCGCGAGCGGAACGGCAGUUCCGUGACGGAGUGAUCAAGUGUUGCGGUAGACGAACCGUCUGGAAAGGCGGGCCAUAGGAAGUGACAGCCUUGUAGUCGAAACUGCAGCACCUCCGGCGGCGAUCCCGAGUAGCGCCCGACCCGUGGAACCGGGCGUGAAUCCGCGGGGCCCACCCCGCAAGGCUAAGUACUCCUCGGUGACCGAUAGUGAACUAGUAGCGCGAGCGAAAGGUGAAAAGCACCCCGAUGAGGGGAGUGAAACAGUACCUGAAACCAUGCACUCACGAGCGGUCGGAGCCCUACGUCUUCGGACAGGGUGACGGCGUGCCUUUUGCAUAAUGACCCGGCGAGUUGUUCUACGUGGCGAGGUUAAGGGUUUAUGGCCCGUAGCCGAAGCGAAAGCGAGUGCGAAAUGUGCGAUACGAGUCACGUGGAGCAGACCCGAAAGCAGGUGAUCUAACCAUGGGCAGGGUGAAGCGGAUGUGACAGUCCGUGGAGGCCCGAACUGGUGAGUGUUGAAAAACUCUCGGAUGAACUGUGGUUAGGGGUAAAAGGCCAAUCAAACCUGCAGAUAGCUGGUUCUCCCCGAAAUGACUUUAGGGUCAGCGUUGCGAGAUGACAUGCGGGGGUAGAGCGACGGAUCAGGUAGGGGGCUCUCCCCAGAGUACCCCGCCUAGUCAAACUCCGAAUACCGUGUGAUCGAUCGCGGCAGUGAGACUACGAGGGAUAAGCUUCGUGGUCGAGAGGGAAACAGCCCAGACCAGCGGCUAAGGUCCCGAAUCGUUUCUAAGUGUCGGAAAGGAAGUGGAGUUGCUAAGACAGCUAGGAUGUUGGCUUAGAAGCAGCCACCAUUUAAAAAGUGCGUAACAGCUUACUAGUCGAGCGACUCCGCGCCGAAAAUGAACGGGACUCAAGGAACGAACCGAAGCCCUGGAAUCGUGCUGGUGAACGGCACGAUUGGUAGGGGAGCGUAGGACGAACGGAUGAAGGGCGAUCGUAAGGGCGCCUGGACGAUGUCCUAGUGAUUAUGCCGGGAUGAGUAGCGCGAAAGGGAGUGAGAAUCUCCCUCGCCGUAAGCCUAAGGUUUCCUGGGGAAGGUCAUUCCGCCCAGGGUUAGCCGGUCCCUAAGGCGAGGCCGAAAGGCGUAGUCGAUGGGAAGCAGGUCAACAUUCCUGCGCCACCGCGUAGCGAUUGCACCGAGGGGUGACGGCUCGUAGAACGAGAUGCCGGUCAGUAGAUUCCGGCCCCUGUCGAGGGGAGGCAGCCAGGUAAAUCCAGCUGCAAGAUCUCCGAGAUGGGGCGAUCCGUAAGGAGAAGUCUCAGGAAGCGGGUCCGAGAAAAACCUCGUUCGGGAGUUGCGUGGUGACCGUACCUAAACUGACACAGGUUGGCGGGUUGAAGAUACCAAGGCGCUCGAGAGAACCCUCGUGAAGGAACUCGGCAAAUUAACCCCGUAAGUUCGCAAGAAGGGGUGCCCGGGCAACCGGGUCACAGGAAAGCGGCAGCAGCGACUGUUUACUAAAAACACAGGUCUCUGCCAAGUCAGAACGACGCAGUAUAGAGACUGACGCCUGCCCGCUGCUGGAACGUCAAGGCGACUGGUUAGCGCAAGCGAAGCUGGGAACCGAAGCGCCAGUGAAGGGCGGCCGUAACUAUGACGGUCCUAAGGUAGCGAAAUUCCUUGUCGGGUAAGUUCCGACCCGCACGAAUGGCGUAACGACUGCUGCACUGUCUCCACGAGGGGCUCGGCGAAAUUGUAGUUGUGGUGAAGAUGCCACAUACCCGCAGUAAGACGGAAAGACCCCGUGAACCUUCACUACAGCCUAGUACUGGCAUCAGGCAUGUCAUGUGUAGCAUAGGUGGGAGACGUUGAGCCGGGGGCGCCAGCCCUCGGGGAGUCGUCCGUGAAAUACCACUCUUGGUUUGUUUGAUGUCUAACCUGUGACCGUGAUCCGGCAUGGGGACAGUGCUAGGUGGGUAGUUUGACUGGGGCGGUCUCCUCCAAAAAGGUAACGGAGGAGCACAAAGGUACCCUCAGCGCGGUUGGCAAUCGCGCAUCGAGCGUAAAGGUAUAAGGGUGCUUGACUGCGAGACCUAUAAGUCGAGCAGGUGGGAAACCAGGUCUUAGUGAUCCGGUGGUUCCGUGUGGAAGGGCCAUCGCUCAUCAGAUAAAAGGUACUCCGGGGAUAACAGGCUGAUCACGCCCAAGAGUCCAUAUCGACGGCGUGGUUUGGCACCUCGAUGUCGGCUCAUCGCAUCCUGGGGCUGAAGGCGGUCCCAAGGGUUGGUCUGUUCGCCCAUUAAAGCGGUACGUGAGCUGGGUUUAGACCGUCGCGAGACAGGUCGGUCCCUAUCUGCUGCGGGUGCAGGAUGGCUGCGGAGAGUCUUUCCUAGUACGAGAGGAUUGGAAAGAACGGACCUCCGGUGUUCCUGUUGUCGCGCUAGCGGCAUAGCAGGGUAGCCAAGUCCGGACCGGAUAACCGCUGAAAGCAUCUAAGCGGGAAGCCAACUCCAAGACGAGCCAUCCCCGAGACACCUGGAAGUCUACCAGGUUGAUAGGCCGGCGGUGCAAGCGCGGUGACGCGCUCAGCUUACCGGUACUAACCAGUCGAUCGGCUUGACCAU
rnacentral:rRNA from 1 species